CAACUACAACUCUCUGGAUUCUUUGAGCUCUUUCAAUCUCAGUGCUAUCCUCAUCGGUUGUCGAAGACU
rnacentral:snoRNA from 1 species